UCUUUCUUCUUCUUUUUCCGAUUUCGAUCGUGUCCCCGUUUGUCAAAUCUCCGAUUCCGAUUUCGAUUCGACUCCUCAUCGAUCCUCGGCGUCCGACUCUUACGCCUAGGGUUUUUUAUCCCGCGAUCUUCUGUUUUUUAAGUUGAAACCUGCAGAUGAAAAUUCUUUUCCUUCCUCCAGAAGGCUGCCAACUUCGGAUAUGUUCCAUGAGCAUCUCUGCUUUGCUUCUCUUGAAGGAGGUUAUGCAUCAGAUCAACAAAUUGGCUCUCAAACCAUGCUAAAUGAGAAAGAUGAAGGGGCAGCAAAAAGCUAGUGGCCAUAUCUUCAACGAAAAAACUUCCAUUGUCAAACCAAAUGCAGUAGUGCUUAUUCUCAAUGCAGCAACUGAUAGUUUCGAUUGCAAGAAGUUGAAAGAACCUUUCAAAAAUGAACUAAGAACAAUCUUGAGAAGGCUAAACUGAAAUGGAAGGGCCCUAAAUCAAAUCUUGAUACUAACCACUGAACUCUAAACUUGAACACUGAAUCUUCUGUACUAAAAACAAUCUCGAAGGAGAAAAACGAACUCAAAUUUAAGAGCUAAGAUGAAGAAACCUUACCAACGGGGACCCUUGGAGAGAGAGAAGAGAGCACCCAUUUUGAAAAGAUGGGAAUUGACGGAGGCCGAUCAUAACGGUGGCUUCUCCAUAUUUUGUUGCAAUGGAAGUCCUCCACAGGUGAUAUUUUUCAUUUAGGUAAAUAAAAGAACCAAUCCAUAUUCACCAGAAAUAUAGCUGUGGAAGGGAGGGCCAGGCUAGGAAAGGACAUCAAGAUUUUCUUCUAUCUACUCACUCUUUCUACCUCUCUUACUGAUAAAAUUGCAUUUUGUAGGGAUAAAAAAUAGAAUACAUAUAGCAACUAUGUAGAGUAGUUGAAAAGAAAGGAAGUAAGUCCAUCUCUCUCUCGACUUCAAGUACUCUUUGUCAAUCCCUCUCUCUUUUCUUCAAGUUUUAUUGUUGUAUGAUUAAUUUUUAGGUAAACAAAAGAACCUUUCCAUACUCACCCAAAAUGUGGCUGUGGAAGGGAAGAUCUGACUAGGAAAAGACAUCAAAGUUUGUUUCUCUCUCUACUCACCCUUUCUCUCUAUCUCAUUGAUAAAAAUACAUUUUGUAGGGAUGGAAAAUAGAAUACAUAUAGCAAAUACGUACAAAAGUUGAAAAGAGAAAAAGUUGCAGACCUUCCAUCUCUCUCUCGGUCUUCUUCCUCUCUCGACUCAGGUACUCUUUCUCAAUCACUAUCUUCUUUCUUCAAGUUCAAUUGUUGUAUGAUUAUUUUUUAGAUAAAUAUGAGAACCAAUCCAAACUCCCCCAACAUACAGCUAUGGAACGGAGGGUUACACUAAGAAAUAACAUCAAGGUUUGUUUCUCUCUCUUUACUCACCUUUUCUCUCUAUCAUUGAUAAAAAUACAUUUUGUAGGGGUUGAAAAUAGAAUACAUAUAUCAAAUACAUACAGAAGUUGAAAAGAAAAGAAGUUGCAAUAUCUCUCUCUCUCUCUCAAUCUUCUUGCUCUCUCGACUUUAGGUACUCUUUCUCAAAACGUCUCUCUUUUCUUCAAGUUUAAUUGUUGUAUGAUUAUUUUUUAGGUAAAUAAAAGAACAAAUCCAAACUCACCCAAAAUAUAGCUAUGGAAUGGAGGGUUAUGCUAGAAAGGACAUCAAGGUAACUGAAAGAACCAAAUCCAGACUCACCCAACAUAUAGCUAUGGAAGGGAGGGCCUAGAUAAGAAAGAACAUCAAGGUUUUUUCUCUCUCUUUACUUGCACUUUCUCCCCCUUUCGCUGAUAAAAAAAUAUUUUGUAGGCAUGCAAAAUAAAAUACAUAUAGCAAAUACGUAUAGAAGUUAAAAAGAAAAGAAGUUGCAAUCCUUCCAUAUCUCUCACUCGAUCUUCUUCCUCUCUCGACUUCAGGGUUGGAAAUAUAAUGCAUAUAGCAAAUAUGUAGAAAAGUUGAAGAGAAAAGAAGUUGUAAUCCUUCUAUCCCUCUCUCUCGAUUUUCUUUCUCUCUCGACUUCAGGUACUCUUUCUCAAUCUCUCUCUCUUUUUAUCAAGUUUAAUUCUUGUAUGAUUAUUUUUUAGGUAAAUUAAAGAACUCAUCUAGAGUCUAAACUCAUCCAAAAUAUAGCUAUGGAAUGAAGGGUUAGGCUAAGAAAGGACAUCAAGAGUUGGUUCUCUCUCUAGUCACUCUUUCUCCCUUUCUCACUUAUAAAAAUGCAUUUCGUAGGGAUGGAAAUUAGAGUACAUAUAGCAAAUAUGUACAGAAGUUAAAAAGAAAGGAAGUCGUAUUCCUUCCAUUUCUCUCUCUCUAUCUUCUUCCUCUCUCUACUUCAGGUACUCUUUUACUAUUCCUUUCGCUUUUCUUUAAGUUUAAUUAUUGUAUGAUUAUUUUUUAGGUAAAUAAAAGAACCAAUUCAUACUCACCCAAAAAAUAGAUAUGGAAGGGAGGGUCAGGCUAGGAAAGGACAUUGAGUGAUGUAAGGGAGAAUAUAUAUAGCAAAUACGUACAAAAGUUGAAAAGAAAGGAAGUUGUAAUCAUUUCAUCUCUCUCGACUUCAGGUACUCUUUCUCAAUCUCUCUCUUUUCUUGAACUUUAAUUGUUGUAUGAUUAUUUUUGCUGGUUAAUAAAAGAACCAAUCCAGGUCCACUUAAAAUAUAGCUAUAUAAGGGAGGGUUAAGAAAGGACAUCAAGGUUUGUUUCUCUCUCUCCUCUCUUUUUCCCUCUCUCACCGAUAAAAUUGCAUUUUAUGGGGAUGGAAAAUUGAAUACUUUUAAGAUAUGUAUAAAUGAUUAAAUUUACCCUAACACAUCAACUGAAAAUUUUGGGUUCAUUGGUGAUUCAACCUGUUUAAAAAACUUAAUGGGUUUAAAUAUGGAAAUGGCCUAGUUGAGAAGAUAAAUAUGAGCCCAACCCAUCACUUACAGGUCAAGUAGGCAAGACCGGUUUAAGGGAGUUGGCUGUUUGACCAUAAGGAGCUCUUGAAUCUCUAUUGGCUCUUGUAACUCCUCUUUGAAUAUAAAUAAUAGAAGUUGGGUUCUAUCAUGUUGCCUUAAAAUGAUGGUUGUCACGAGAUGAUUGUUGCCUCGGAAAAAGGAACCAAUGGUAUCCUCGACGGUGGUCGUCCCUAAAUGUUAGUUCUCUUGAAAUAAUUGGACUAGUGGUUGCCAUCGUUAUGGAAGUUCCUCAAUAUUGGUUGCCUCAAAACAUACGACCCAUGGUUGCAUGGAUAUGAUGGUUGUCCCUGAAUAUUGGCUGACCUUGAAAUAUAUGACACCAAUAGUUGCCUCAACAUUGUUGUGAUCGCGAAAUGAUGGUUGUCAAAAAAUGUUUGUUGCUUCAAAAUGAUGGUUGUCUCAAAAUAGUUAACUUAAAAUGUUGUUUGUCCCUUGGUAUUGGUUGCCUUAAAAUUUAGGAUUAAUGGUUGCCUUAAUAUGUCGAUUGUCCCUAAAUAUUAGUUCCUCUAAAUGUAGGACCAAUGGUUGCCUUGAUUUGUCGGUUUUCCCUAAACAUUGGUUGCCUCGAGAUAAAGCUCCAAUGAUUGUCACGAUAUGUUGGUUGUCCCUAAAUAUUAGCUAACCUUGAAAUAUAUGACACCAAUUGUUGCCUCAAAAUUUUUGUGAUCGCGAAAUGAUGGUUGUCCAAAAAUUUUUGUUGCUUCGAAAUGAUGGUUGUCUCAAAAUAGUUGCCUUAAAAUAUUGUUUGUCCCUUAGUAUUGGUUGCCUUAAAAUUUAGGAUUAAUGGUUGCCUUAAUAUGUCGAUGUCCCUAAAUAUAGGACCAAUUGUUGUCUUGAUUUGUCGAUUGUCCCUAAACAUUGGUUGCCUCGAGAUAAAGCGCCAAUGAUUGUCACGAUAUCUUGGUUGUCCCUAAAUAUUGGCUAACCUAGGAAUAUAUGACACCAAUAAUUGCCUAAAAAUUUAAUAGCAAAGAACUUAGAGGGAAUGGGUUCAAACCAUGGUGGUCACCUACCUAGGAUUUAAUAUCCUAUGAGUUUCCUUGUCAAUCAAAUGUAGUAGGGUCGGGCGGUUGGCCCGUGAAUAGCCGAGGUGCGUGCAAGCUGGCCCGAACACACAGAUAUCAAAAAUAAUAAUAAUAAUAAUUGCCUAAAAUUUUUUGUGAUCACGAAAUGAUGGUUGUCCAAAAAUGUUUGUCGCUUCAAAAUGAUGGUUGUCUCAAAAUAGUUGCCUUAAAAUGUUGCUUGUCCCUUCGAGUUGCUAGUUAUCCCUAAACAUCGGUUGCCUCAAGAUAAAGCACCAAUGAUUGUUACAAUAUGUUGGUUGUCCCUAAAAAUUGGUUGACUUUGAAAUAUAUGUGACACUAAUAGUUUCCAAAAAACUUUUCUGAUUGCGCAAUGAUGGUUGUCCAAAAAUUUUUGUUACUCCAAAAUGAUGGUUGUCCCAAAAUAUUUGUUACCUUGAUGUGAUAGUUAUCUAAAAAAGAAUGGCUGGUUAGAUAUUUCUAUUGGCCUAAAAGGCCAACAUAGGUACUAAUAGUUAUUUUUUUGUUAGUUCUUUUUAUCGAAACUAACAUCCGUUGGUUCAGCAUCGGUUAAUGCAGCUUCUCUUGAAGGGGAACCAUUAGUCUGAUAAAGAUCCUUGAUCCCUUUUUCGAAUACAAUUCUGACAUCCACUUAAACUAUUCGUAUAAAUGUGUACUCUUUUCAAGCUACCAAUUUAUGGCAAAUAAGCUGCAAUAUUGUCAUAACUAGUUCCAAAAAUUACUUCGCAAGGAACCGUUCCUAAACUUUUUAGAAAGGGUUGCGUAUUUCUACACCUUGAAAACAUGUUGGUAGGCAUCUUCACCAUCUGCAAUGUCCUCUAACGAUCUCAGUGACCAAAAAUUUCCUCUUUCGGCUUGAAGUUCGACCAUGAACCUCGCUGAGAAUAUUAGUUGCCUCAUUAUUUUGUCCUGUUUAUCGAUCACUUCAAUAAUUUUUUCUUGUUGCUUCAGUUAAGUAUUUGCUUCAAGAUAUUGAUGUCUUGACAUAAUUUUUUCUUGUUGCUUCAGUUAAGUAUUUGCUUCAAGAUAUUGAUGUCUUGACAUAAUGGAUGAUCGUAAAGAUUAGUAGUCGUAAGAUAAUUGUUGACUCCAAAUAUUGAUGAUGAAUUGUUACUUCAAUGUAAUUAUGUGUCUUGAUAUAAUAAAUAUCUCAAUGUAUUGAUUGUCUUAAUCUGAUAGUUAAUAUUAUUAUCGGCUUUUUAGAAAUUGAUUUGGAAGUUGGGGAUGAUUUUCGUCCCUUGUAGAGGGGAGAUUUUU